ACGAACGCUGGCGGCGUGCCUAAUACAUGCAAGUCGAACGCAUUUUCUUUCACCGUAGCUUGCUACACCGAAAGAAAAUGAGUGGCGAACGGGUGAGUAACACGUGGGUAACCUGCCCAUCAGCGGGGGAUAACACUUGGAAACAGGUGCUAAUACCGCAUAAUUCCAUUUACCGCAUGGUAGAUGGAUGAAAGGCGCUUUUGCGUCACUGAUGGAUGGACCCGCGGUGCAUUAGCUAGUUGGUGGGGUAACGGCCUACCAAGGCUGCGAUGCAUAGCCGACCUGAGAGGGUGAUCGGCCACACUGGGACUGAGACACGGCCCAGACUCCUACGGGAGGCAGCAGUAGGGAAUCUUCGGCAAUGGACACAAGUCUGACCGAGCAACGCCGCGUGAGUGAAGAAGGUUUUCGGAUCGUAAAACUCUGUUGUUAGAGAAGAACAAGGAUGAGAGUGGAAAGUUCAUCCCUUGACGGUAUCUAACCAGAAAGCCACGGCUAACUACGUG
rnacentral:rRNA from 1 species